rnacentral:rRNA from 1 species
GGCGGCGUGCCUAAUACAUGCAAGUCGAACGAGUUCUCGUUGAUGAUCGGUGCUUGCACCGAGAUUCAACAUGGAACGAGUGGCGGACGGGUGAGUAACACGUGGGUAACCUGCCCUUAAGUGGGGGAUAACAUUUGGAAACAGAUGCUAAUACCGCAUAGAUCCAAGAACCGCAUGGUUCUUGGCUGAAAGAUGGCGUAAGCUAUCGCUUUUGGAUGGACCCGCGGCGUAUUAGCUAGUUGGUGAGGUAAUGGCUCACCAAGGCGAUGAUACGUAGCCGAACUGAGAGGUUGAUCGGCCACAUUGGGACUGAGACACGGCACAAACUCCUACGGGAGGCAGCAGUAGGGAAUCUUCCACAAUGGACGCAAGUCUGAUGGAGCAACGCCGCGUGAGUGAAGCCGGCUUUCGGGUCGUAAAACUCUGUUGUUGGAGAAGAAUGGUCGGCAGAGUAACUGUUGUCGGCGUGACGGUAUCCAACCAGAAAGCCACGGCUAACUACGUGCCAGCAGCCGCGGUAAUACGUAGGUGGCAAGCGUUAUCCGGAUUUAUUGGGCGUAAAGCGAGCGCAGGCGGUUUUUUAAGUCUGAUGUGAAAGCCCUCGGCUUAACCGAGGAAGCGCAUCGGAAACUGGGAAACUUGAGUGCAGAAGAGGACAGUGGAACUCCAUGUGUAGCGGUGAAAUGCGUAGAUAUAUGGAAGAACACCAGUGGCGAAGGCGGCUGUCUGGUCUGUAACUGACGCUGAGGCUCGAAAGCAUGGGUAGCGAACAGGAUUAGAUACCCUGGUAGUCCAUGCCGUAAACGAUGAAUGCUAGGUGUUGGAGGGUUUCCGCCCUUCAGUGCCGCAGCUAACGCAUUAAGCAUUCCGCCUGGGGAGUACGACCGCAAGGUUGAAACUCAAAGGAAUUGACGGGGGCCCGCACAAGCGGUGGAGCAUGUGGUUUAAUUCGAAGCAACGCGAAGAACCUUACCAGGUCUUGACAUCUUUUGAUCACCUGAGAGAUCAGGUUUCCCCUUCGGGGGCAAAAUGACAGGUGGUGCAUGGUUGUCGUCAGCUCGUGUCGUGAGAUGUUGGGUUAAGUCCCGCAACGAGCGCAACCCUUAUGACUAGUUGCCAGCAUUUAGUUGGGCACUCUAGUAAGACUGCCGGUGACAAACCGGAGGAAGGUGGGGAUGACGUCAAAUCAUCAUGCCCCUUAUGACCUGGGCUACACACGUGCUACAAUGGAUGGUACAACGAGUUGCGAGACCGCGAGGUCAAGCUAAUCUCUUAAAGCCAUUCUCAGUUCGGACUGUAGGCUGCAACUCGCCUACACGAAGUCGGAAUCGCUAGUAAUCGCGGAUCAGCACGCCGCGGUGAAUACGUUCCCGGGCCUUGUACACACCGCCCGUCACACCAUGAGAGUUUGUAACACCCGAAGCCGGUGGCGUAACCCUUUUAGGGAGCGAGCCGUCUAAGGUGGGACAAAUGAUUAGGGUGAAGUCGUAACAAGGACU